AUACGGAGGGUGCAAGCGUUACUCGGAAUCACUGGGCGUAAAGCGCACGCAGGCGGCUAUUUAAGUUGGAUGUGAAAGCCUACGGCUCAACCGUAGAACUGCAUCCAAAACUAUUUAGCUAGAGUGUGGGAGAGGAAGAUGGAAUUAGUUGUGUAGGGGUAAAAUCCGUAGAGAUAACUAGGAAUACCAAAAGCGAAGGCAAUCUUCUGGAACACUACUGACGCUGAGGCGCGAAAGCGUGGGGAGCAAACGGGAUUAGAUACCCCAGUAGUCC
rnacentral:rRNA from 1 species